rnacentral:rRNA from 1 species
AGCGAACGCUGGCGGCAGGCUUAACACAUGCAAGUCGAGCGGGCACUUUCGGGUGUCAGCGGCGGACGGGUGCGUAACGCGUGGGAACGUGCCCUCUGGUUCGGAAUAACUCAGGGAAACUUGAGCUAAUACCGGAUACGCCCUUUUGGGGAAAGGCUUGCUGCCGGAGGAUCGGCCCGCGUCUGAUUAGCUAGUUGGUGAGGUAACGGCUCACCAAGGCGACGAUCAGUAGCUGGUCUGAGAGGAUGAUCAGCCACACUGGGACUGAGACACGGCCCAGACUCCUACGGGAAGCAGCAGUGGGGAAUAUUGGACAAUGGGCGCAAGCCUGAUCCAGCCAUGCCGCGUGAGUGAUGAAGGCCUUAGGGUUGUAAAGCUCUUUUAUCCGGGACGAUAAUGACGGUACCGGAGGAAUAAGCCCCGGCUAACUUCGUG